CACUGUUAAGGCAGGUCUAGAUAUUAUGAGAGUGAAAAAUCCGCGAAAAUAGGUAAUAUGACGUCACAAUCAGAUUUAUUUCUGACGUCUGAUAACAAAUAUUCCAUAAUAAGAGAUGAUGUUGUUAAAAUUUACGAACAAUUUUAUUGUUAUAUCAUGCAAUUAUGUAAUAAAUAAUAUUGAAGCUCGUAUAUCAAAUAAUUAAUCUACAUAAACAUUAAAACGGCCUUGUCAUUCAUUCCACCCGGUUGAAGUCCACGCAUGCGCACCUCGAAAUCGGCGUCUCAUGCGAGCUUGUCACGACACAAUGUCGAAGAAGAUGGAUGCAUUGGCCACUUGGUGUUAUUGCAAAGUUUACGGCUACAGCAAUGUGUCAUGAUUGUCAUCCGACAAAAAGGGUUACAGCCAGUGAAUGUUAUGACUGCAUGAACUAUCAUGGUCUGCAAGCAUCAUGUAACCUGGACAUCCAACUAGCCAAGAAACAAUGCAGUGGUGGAUCCAGAAUUUGUUAAAUGCAUGAAAGACAAAAGACUCACCAUCAGGAUUGUGAAGUGCACAGGAAUCCUGGGAGUUUGGUUGACCAUUAACACAAAUGGUAUUACUGUAGGCAUCUGAGGAGAAAAGGUUCCCGAAUUAGUGAAGAAGAACUGGGUAGGUACAUUAUUGUAGGAAUAUUUGAUAUUACAGUAUGAAAGUCUUACCAUCAGGAUUCUGGGGCGUGCAGGAAUCCUGGCAGUUUGGUUGACCAUUGACACAAAUGGCAUUACUGUAGGCAUCUGAGGAGAAAUAGUUCCUAGUCAGUGAAGGAAGAACUGGGUAGGUACAUUAUUGUAGGAAUAUUUGAUAUCACAGUAUGAAAGUCUUACCAUCAGGAUUC